rnacentral:lncRNA from 1 species
AGGCAGUCUCUCUGAAAGAGUUUGAAAAUAUUAGGGACUUAAGAUUUUAAAGCAAGAAAUCUUUUCCUCAACAAUUUUGCAACCACAUUUAAAAAGUCCUAUUCACAGAAGCACCUAUGCAAUAUCCUAGCUUAACAACCAUUUCUAACAUAACACAACUCAUCAAUUCACGUCUGACAUCCCCUCUACUGACUUCAUUUCUUAUCAUUAAAUAUAAAGUGAAUGCUUUACCUUGGGUGUAUCGAUCAUAGGAUGCAAGGAUUUCAGACAAGUAUCUGGAUCUGCAGGUAAAAGUUAGUUCCUAGUUUCUCUCUCUCUAAUUUUCUCACUUGAGUCAAAGUUUGCUUCCAUUGCAGGAUCAGUGACCAAGAUUGGACAGGCUUCCAUGAAUCAAGUUCUGUUCACUUCUUUUUGACCUAUAUCCAAGAGUUCUUUGCGAAAGCGAGCCUUGAAGAUUGCCGCCUCCAAGUCCCGUUUCGAACUCUUUUAUUGGAGUCUUUACGAAUCAAGCCUUAAUGGUUUAACCACCAAGUCCUGUUCAGACUCAUCCUAAGUAAACAAUAGAUCUUAUUUAUUUAUUUUUUUUAAUUAUUAUUAUUAUAUUUUUUUUAUAUACUCACUAACUAUUCGAGGGUCGAAAUUUAGAGAGAGAAAAUGUGAUAAAUAAUCUACACUAGGCGUUACCUUCCAGACUUGUCUGAAGAAUCCGAUCCCAUGUAUACCAAGCCCCAAGAGAAGCGGUUAUGUCAGGUUUAGUGUUGGAAAUCAGCUUUGGUUGCUUCAUACGUUUCAAGGCAAGUGUGUAGUUGAUAGGUUGAUCUGCUUUAACAUCUAUAGUGCUAUCUGCAAUCAGUAAAUCUAAAAUGGUGCUAGAGAUUGGUU